UCCCGGCACGGGGAGGUAGUGACGAAAAAUAACAAUACGGGACUCUUCAUGAGGCCCCGUAAUUGGAAUGAGCGCAGUCUAAACCCUUGGGCGAGGACCCAUUGGAGGGCAAGUCUGGUGCCAGCAGCCGCGGUAAUUCCAGCUCCAAUAGCGUAUAUUAAAGUUGUUGCAGUUAAAAAGCUCGUAGUUGGAUCUCGGGCGCAGGCGGGCGGUCCGGCUCGCGCCGGUUCGCCGCCCGUUCCCCUGCCCCACCCCUGCCGGCUCCCUCCCGGCGGUGCUCUUCGCUGAGCGUCCCGGGCGGCCGGCGCGUUUACUUUGAAAAAAUUAGAGUGUUCAAGGCGGGCCCGCCGAGCCCGAAUAACUGCGCAUGGAAUAAUGGAAUAGGACCUCGGUUCUAUUUUGCUGGUUUUCGGAAUCCGAGGUAAUGAUUGACGGGGACAAACGGGGGCAUUCGUAUUGCGGCGUUAGAGGUGAAAUUCUUGGAUCGCCGCAAGACGGGCUACUGCGAAA
rnacentral:rRNA from 9 species